GAGAAAGUAGCUCAGCUGGUAGAGCAUAGGAUUUGUAUGCCUGAUCUUCCCAGUUGCAUGCCCAGUACCACAUGUGCUAGGGUGGUGCUCUGGCUUUUCUCU
rnacentral:tRNA from 1 species